rnacentral:rRNA from 1 species
AUUGAACGCUGGCGGCAGGCCUAACACAUGCAAGUCGAACGAGUGGCGGACGGGUGAGUAAUGUAUGGAAAACUGCCUGAUGGUGGGGGAUAACUACUGGAAACGGUAGCUAAUACCGCAUACCAUCAGAUGUGCCGAGAUGGGUUUAGUUUGUUGGUGGGGUAACGGCUCACCAAGGCGACGAUCCCUAGCUGGUCGGAGCGGAUGACCAGCCCCACUGGAACUGAGAUACGGUCCAGACUCCUACGGGAGGCAGCAGUGGGGAAUAUUGCACAAUGGGCGAAAGCCUGAUGCAGCCAUGCCGCGUGUAUGAAGAAGGCCUUCGGGUUGUAAAGUACUUUCAGCGGGAAGGCGUUAUCCGAAGAAGAAGCACCGGCUAACUCCGUGCCAGCAGCCGCGGUAAUUC